rnacentral:rRNA from 1 species
UAUUAUUUUAGAUGUAAAAUAUUUAAACUUGAGUAGUAGUAGAAUAAGGUCUUGAAACUUAAAGAAUUUGGCGGUAUUUUAGUCUAUUUAGAGGAAUCUGUCCCGUAAUCGAUAAUCCGCGUUGGACCUUACUUAGAUUGAUUGAAUAUGUAUACCGCUGUUGUUGAAAAUCUUUUUAGAGUUAAUUUUUUCAAUAUUUGUUAAAUAAUUUUUCAGGUCAAGGUGCAGUUUAUAUUUAAGUGGAGAUGGAUUACAAUAUUUAAUAAAUAUACGGAUUAUUAUUUGAAAUUAAUAAUAUGAAGGUGGAUUUAAUAGUAAUAUUAUGAAGUUUGUUAAUAUGAUUAUAGCUCUAAAAUAUGCACACAUCGCCCGUCGCUCUCGUUAUAUUUAAGGUGAG